UAACUUUGCAGCCACCAGUGAGAAAUGACUCAGAACGGUGGGAAUCAAGGCACUGGAGUAAAUAAAAACAUUUUCCUAAAUUCUAGGAGUCAAGAAUUUUGAGCAGUACUGCCAUAAAAUAGGCAUUAACUUCUGUUCUAUGUAGUUUCAAAAAGGUCUUAAAAAGUCUUAGAUUUAACUUGUAGAAACCUGUAGGAACCCUGUAAAUAAUUUUAAGAGUUCUUAUGGAAAUCACCACAGUUAGUCAAUUAAAUAUAGGAAAAAACCUGAUUUUCAGUGAAAAAUGCAAAAUACAGUGGAUAAUAUUAUGCUAUGUAGUGAUACGUGACAUAACAAAGGUUAAAUGUAGAGACAAAAUAAUUCAGAAGUCGCCACAAAAAUUGUUAUAGGUCCUUAAGCGUUCAAAAAACUCCUCUUACCAUAUAUUUUCACUAAUAAUCAAUGGUUUAACACACUUUUAUAAGUAUUCCAAAUCAGUUCUUGAUGCUUUUCACAUGUUUUACAGAAUAAUUCACCAAACCAAUGUUAAAACAGCUUAGAAAAAAGCAUUUAACAUUUGUCUGUAUGUAAUGACAUGCAGCUCAUGAGGUUUUCACCUGUGCUUUUCACUUUUCUGCAGCUGAUGCUUUUCUGUACGACUCCAUCAAAGACAACGGAGACUCUGGGAGCGGGGGACCUUCAGAUGUCACAUAUUCUUCAAUUGAACUUAAAAACAUGAAGGGAGCCGAAAAACAGAAACCAGGAGAGGAGUGUACUGUUU